rnacentral:tRNA from 1 species
GGGCCCGUGGCGCAGCCUGGAUAGAGGUCUAGUCCGUCUAUCGCGGCGGCCUUCUAAGCCGUAGGUCCCGGGUUCGAAUCCCGGCGGGCCCG